AACGCAUAUUGCGCUCGAGCCCUCGGGCAAGAGCAUGUCUGCCUCAGCGUCGGUUUACACCCUCACCCCUCCCAACUUGUUGGGUGUGUUUGCUUCUAUAGCAGGCCAUUGGGGUGGAUCUGGCUUCCCCAAUCUGCCAUCUAGGCGGAUUGGGUUGGCUGAAGUGCAGAGGCUUAAGCAAGGACCCGAUAUGGGCUUCAACUGGAUAGGUAGCACCGGCUUCUGCCGACUACACGAAGUUGUUGCUUGUGGAUCUUGCUAGGGGCCAAGCAGGAACGUGCCUUUUGGCAUGUCUAAACUUUCGACCUGAGCUCAGGCAAGGCUACCCGCUGAACUUAA
rnacentral:misc_RNA from 1 species